UACGUAGGGUGCGAGCGUUGCCCGGAUUUAUUGGGCGUAAAGGGCGCGUAGGCGGUGAGAUGCGUCCGUUGUGAAAUCGCCCGGCUCAACUGGGCGGGGUCAGCGGAUACGGUCUCACUUGAGCAAGCUAGGGGGCAAUGGAAUUCCCGGUGUAGUGGUGGAAUGCGUAGAUAUCGGGAGGAACACCAGUGGCGAAAGCGGACCGCUGGCCCUCUUCUGACGCUGAGGCGCGAAAGCCAGGGGAGCGAACGGG
rnacentral:rRNA from 1 species